rnacentral:lncRNA from 1 species
AGCAGCUAAACUAUAGAAACAUACAAUUUCAAUAGCCUCAGACUGGGUAUAAAGCAAGCAAUCUUCAGACACAGGGAAUCAAACAAGUUCCAACGGUUCAACCAGUCCUAGCAGUCAACGCUCAAAUUUAAAACAAAACCAACAACAAGAUGCCUUGCAAAGGAUGCGGAAACAGUGAGUACAACAUUAUAAACCCUUAAAAUAAAGUUAUAAUAAAACGAAUUCCUCAUCCACAGACUGCCAGUGCACAUCGGGCCAAUGCGGAAGCACCUGUGCCGGUAACACCCAGUGCCAAUGCGCCGCCAAAACAGGAGCCAAGUGCUGCAAGGCCAAGUGAUUGUGUGCCAUGAAUAGUACUUAAUUAGCUACCAAAUCUCCGACUGAUCCUUAUGCAAAUCUGAUGCAAAAAUAAAAUAAAAAUUAUGUUCUAGGUCAAAUUAAAUACAUAUUUGUAGUUAUUCCAGC